UACGUAGGUGGCAAGCGUUGUCCGGAAUUAUUGGGCUUAAAGCGCGCGCAGGCGGUCCUUUACGUCUGAUGUGAAAGCCCACGGCUCAACCGUGGAGGGUCAUUGGAAACGGGAGGACUUGAGUGCAGGAGAGGAGAGUGGAAUUCCCCGUGUAGCGGUGAAAUGCGUAGAGAUGUGGAGGAACACCAGUGGCGAAGGCGACUCUGUGGCCUGUAACUGACGCUGAGGCACGAAAGCGUGGGGAGCAAACAGG
rnacentral:rRNA from 1 species